UACGUAGGGUGCGAGCGUUGUCCGGAUUUACUGGGCGUAAAGCGUGUGUAGGCGGCUAUUUAAGUCAGAUGUUAAAUCCAACGGCUCAACCGUUGUCCGCAUUUGAUACUGAAUAGCUAGAGAAUAGGAGAGGGAAGCGGAACUCAUGGUGUAGCGGUGAAAUGCGUAGAUAUCAUGAGGAACACCAGUGGCGAAGGCGGCUUCCUGGACUAUUUCUGACGCUGAGGCACGAAAGCAUGGGGAGC
rnacentral:rRNA from 1 species